AGGGAUAUAGCUCAGUGGCACAAGUAUCUGCCUGGCAAGUGCAGGGUUCUGAGUUUGAUUCUUGGUAACCCUU
rnacentral:tRNA from 1 species